rnacentral:rRNA from 1 species
GUUGGGUAGGGGAGCGUUCUGUAAGCCUGUGAAGGUGUGUCGUGAGGCAUGCUGGAGGUAUCAGAAGUGCGAAUGCUGACAUAAGUAACGAUAAAGCGGGUGAAAAGCCCGCUCGCCGGAAGACCAAGGGUUCCUGUCCAACGUUAAUCGGGGCAGGGUGAGUCGACCCCUAAGGCGAGGCCGAAAGGCGUAGUCGAUGGGAAACAGGUUAAUAUUCCUGUACUUGGUGUUACUGCGAAGGGGGGACGGAGAAGGCUAUGUUGGCCGGGCGACGGUUGUCCCGGUUUAAGCGUGUAGGUGUGUGUUCCAGGUAAAUCCGGUUCACUUUAACACUGAGGCGUGAUGACGAGGCACUACGGUGCUGAAGCAACAAAUGCCCUGCUUCCAGGAAAAGCCUCUAAGCAUCAGGUAACAUCAAAUCGUACCCCAAACCGACACAGGUGGUCAGGUAGAGAAUACCAAGGCGCUUGAGAGAACUCGGGUGAAGGAACUAGGCAAAAUGGUGCCGUAACUUCGGGAGAAGGCACGCUGACACGUAGGUGAAGUGAUUUACUCAUGGAGCUGAAGUCAGUCGAAGAUACCAGCUGGCUGCAACUGUUUAUUAAAAACACAGCACUGUGCAAACACGAAAGUGGACGUAUACGGUGUGACGCCUGCCCGGUGCCGGAAGGUUAAUUGAUGGGGUCAGCGCAAGCGAAGCUCCUGAUCGAAGCCCCGGUAAACGGCGGCCGUAACUAUAACGGUCCUAAGGUAGCGAAAUUCCUUGUCGGGUAAGUUCCGACCUGCACGAAUGGCGUAAUGAUGGCCAGGCUGUCUCCACCCGAGACUCAGUGAAAUUGAACUCGCUGUGAAGAUGCAGUGUACCCGCGGCAAGACGGAAAGACCCCGUGAACCUUUACUAUAGCUUGACACUGAACAUUGAGCCUUGAUGUGUAGGAUAGGUGGGAGGCUUUGAAGUGUGGACGCCAGUCUGCAUGGAGCCGACCUUGAAAUACCACCCUUUAAUGUUUGAUGUUCUAACGUGGACCCGUGAUCCGGGUUGCGGACAGUGUCUGGUGGGUAGUUUGACUGGGGCGGUCUCCUCCUAAAGAGUAACGGAGGAGCACGAAGGUUGGCUAAUCCUGGUCGGACAUCAGGAGGUUAGUGCAAUGGCAUAAGCCAGCUUGACUGCGAGCGUGACGGCGCGAGCAGGUGCGAAAGCAGGUCAUAGUGAUCCGGUGGUUCUGAAUGGAAGGGCCAUCGCUCAACGGAUAAAAGGUACUCCGGGGAUAACAGGCUGAUACCGCCCAAGAGUUCAUAUCGACGGCGGUGUUUGGCACCUCGAUGUCGGCUCAUCACAUCCUGGGGCUGAAGUAGGUCCCAAGGGUAUGGCUGUUCGCCAUUUAAAGUGGUACGCGAGCUGGGUUUAGAACGUCGUGAGACAGUUCGGUCCCUAUCUGCCGUGGGCGCUGGAGAACUGAGGGGGGCUGCUCCUAGUACGAGAGGACCGGAGUGGACGCAUCACUGGUGUUCGGGUUGUCAUGCCAAUGGCACUGCCCGGUAGCUAAAUGCGGAAGAGAUAAGUGCUGAAAGCAUCUAAGCACGAAACUUGCCCCGAGAUGAGUUCU